GGUGAGUUUUCAGCCGAAACCAGUUUGGCUCAGUGGAUAGAGCAUCGGUCUGUGGACUGAAAGGUCCCAGGUUCAAUUCCAGUCAAGGGCAUGUACCUUGGAUGCGGGCACCUACCCAGUAGGACAUGUGCAGAGGGAGUUGAUGGAUGUUUCUCUCUCAUCAUGUUUCUAACUCUCUAUACCUCCCUCUUCC